GACGAACGCUGGCGGCGUGCUUAACACAUGCGAGUCGAACGGAAAGGCCCUUCGGGGUACUCGAGUGGCGAACGGGUGAGUAGCACGUGGGUGAUCUGCCCUGCACUUUGGGAUAAGCCAGGGAAACUGGGUCUAAUACCGGAUAGGACCACGGCAUUCAUGUGCUGUAGUGGAAAGCUUUUGCGGGGUGGGAUGGGCCCGCGCCCUAUCAGCUGGUUGGUGGGGUAAGGGCCGACCAGGGCGAGGACGGGUAGCCGGCCUGAGGGGGUGACCGGGCGCACUGGGACUGAGAGACGGCCCAGACUCCUACGGGAGGCAGCAGUGGGGAAUAUGGCACAAUGGGCGCAAGCCUGAUGCAGCGACGCCGCGUGAGGGAUGACGGCCUUCGGGUUGUAAACCUCUUUCGCCAGGGACGAAGCGCAAGUGACGGUACCUGGAGAAGAAGGACCGGCCAACUACGUGCCAGCAGCCUCCGUAA
rnacentral:rRNA from 1 species